CCGUCGAUAGCUCAGUUGGUAGAGCGGUGGACUGUAGAGGCUCUCAUUUGCGGAUAUCCAUAGGUCGCUGGUUCGAAUCCGGCUCGACGGA
rnacentral:tRNA from 2 species